rnacentral:tRNA from 1 species
GAGCCAUUAGCUCAGUCGGUAGAGCAUCUGACUUUUAAUCAGAGGGUCGAAGGUUC